rnacentral:rRNA from 2 species
CUGCGGAGGAGCGUAUCAAUAAGCGGAGGAACUGCGGUGCUGAUUUUUAAGGCGNGUUGGAAGGGCGGGCUCGACCUACCGGCUCCGGCCGGGAGCGCCCGCCAGAGACGCCCCAACUCGUGCUGUCAGUGAUGUCUGAGUUACAAUUAAUAAAGUAAAACUUUCAACAACGGAUCUCUUGGCUCUGGCAUCGAUGAAGAACGCAGCGAAAUGCGAUAAGUAAUGUGAAUUGCAGAAUUUAGUGAAUCAUCGAAUCUUUGAACGCACAUUGCGCCCCCCGGUAUUCCGAGGGGCAUGCCUGUUCGAGCGUCAUAACAACCCCUCAAGCCUAGCUUGGUCUUGGGGCCUGCCCGCUGGGCGGCCCUUAAACACAGUGGCGGUGCCGUCGUGCUCUACGCGUAGUAACUCUUCUCGCGACAGGGCGCUGACGGGACCUGCCGAAGCUCCAUCUCUCGGUUGACCUCGGAUCAGGUAGGGAUACCCGCUGAACUUAAGCAUAUCAAUAAGCCGAAGGAA